AGAGUUUGAUCCUGGCUCAGUGGCUCAGGAUGAACGCUGGCGGCGUGCCUAACACAUGCAAGUCGAGCGAGAAAUUUACAAACAAAUCUUCGGAAGAGUGCGUAAAUGGAAAGCGGCGGACGGGUGAGUAACGCGUAGGCAACCUGCCUCAUGCAGAGGGAUAGCCUCGGGAAACCGGGAUUAAAACCUAUGAUGCAAGGAAAACACAUGUUUUUCUUGUCAAAGAUUUAUCGGCAUGAGAUGGGCCUGCGUCUGAUUAGCUAGUUGGUAGGGUAACGGCCUACCAAGGCAACGAUCAGUAGCCGACCUGAGAGGGUAAUCGGCCACAUUGGAACUGAGACACGGUCCAAACUCCUACGGGAGGCAGCAGUGGGGAAUAUUGCACAAUGGGCGAAAGCCUGAUGCAGCAACGCCGCGUGAGCGAAGAAGGCCUUUGGGUCGUAAAGCUCUGUCCUUGGGGAAGAAACAAAUGACGGUACCCAAGGAGGAAGCCCCGGCUAACUACGUGCCAGCAGCCGCGGUAAUACGUAGGGGGCGAGCGUUAUCCGGAAUUAUUGGGCGUAAAGAGUGCGUAGGUGGUCUUGUAAGCGUGGGGUGAAAGGCAGUGGCUUAACCAUUGUAAGCCCUGCGAACUGUGAGACUUGAGUGCAGGAGAGGAAAGCGGAAUUCCUAGUGUAGCGGUGAAAUGCGUAGAUAUUAGGAGGAACACCAGUGGCGAAGGCGGCUUUCUGGACUGUAACUGACACUGAGGCACGAAAGCGUGGGGAGCAAACAGGAUUAGAUACCCUGGUAGUCCACGCCGUAAACGAUGAGCACUAGGUGUCGGGGUCGCAAGACUUCGGUGCCGCAGUUAACGCAUUAAGUGCUCCGCCUGGGGAGUACGCACGCAAGUGUGAAACUCAAAGGAAUUGACGGGGACCCGCACAAGCAGCGGAGCAUGUGGUUUAAUUCGAAGCAACGCGAAGAACCUUACCAGGACUUGACAUCCCUCUGACAGUCCCUUAACCGGGAUCUUCCUUCGGGACAGAGGAGACAGGUGGUGCAUGGUUGUCGUCAGCUCGUGUCGUGAGAUGUUGGGUUAAGUCCCGCAACGAGCGCAACCCUUGUCAAUAGUUGCCAGCAGUAAGAUGGGCACUCUAUUGAGACUGCCGUGGAUAACACGGAGGAAGGUGGGGAUGACGUCAAAUCAUCAUGCCCCUUAUGUUCUGGGCUACACACGUGCUACAAUGGCUGGUACAGAGAGACGCAAGACGUGAGGUGGAGCAAAUCUCCAAAACCAGUCCCAGUUCGGAUUGUAGGCUGCAACUCGCCUACAUGAAGUUGGAGUUGCUAGUAAUCGCAGAUCAGAAUGCUGCGUGAAUGCGUUCGGGUCUUGUACACACCGCCCGUCACACCAUGGAAGUUGGGGGUGCCCAAAGUCGGCCAGUAAAUAGGCUGCCUAAGGCAAAAUCAAUGACUAGGGUGAAGUCGUAACA
rnacentral:rRNA from 1 species